GAUGAAGAACGUAGCGAAAUGCGAUAAGUAAUGUGAAUUGCAGAAUUCAGUGAAUCAUCGAAUCUUUGAACGCACAUUGCGCCCGCCAGUAUUCUGGCGGGCAUGCCUGUUCGAGCGUCAUUACAACCCUCAGGCCCCCGGGCCUGGCGUUGGGGAUCGGCGGAAGCCCCCUGCGGGCGCAACGCCGUCCCCCAAAUACAGUGGCGGUCCGCCGCAGCUUCCAUUGCGUAGUAGCUAACACCUCGCAACUGGAGAGCGGCGCGGCCACGCCGUAAAACACCCAACUUCUGAAUGUUGACCUCGAAUCAGGUAGGAAUACCCGCUGAACUUAAGCAUAUCAAUAAGCGGAGGA
rnacentral:misc_RNA from 1 species